AUACGGAGGGUGCAAACGUUGUUCGGAAUCACUGGGCGUAAAGGGCGCGCAGGCGGUUUGAUUAGUCAGAUGUGAAAGCCCACGGCUUAACCGUGGAAGUGCAUUUGAAACUGUCAGACUUGAGUACCAGAGGGGGUAGUGGAAUUCCCGGUGUAGAGGUGAAAUUCGUAGAUAUCGGGAGGAAUACCGGUGGCGAAGGCGACUACCUGGCUGGAUUCUGACGCUGAGGCGCGAAAGCGUGGGGAGCAAACAGGAUUAGAAACCCUAGUAGUCC
rnacentral:rRNA from 1 species